rnacentral:rRNA from 1 species
UACAGAGGGUGCAAGCGUUAAUCGGAAUUACUGGGCGUAAAGCGUGCGUAGACGGUUAUUUAAGUCAGGUGUGAAAGCCCCGGGCUCAACCUGGGAAUUGCAUUUGAGACUGAAUAGCUAGGGUGCGGAAGAGGGAAGCGGAAUUUCCGGUGUAGCGGUGAAAUGCGUAGAUAUCGGAAGGAACACCAGUGGCGAAAGCGGCUUCCUGGUCCAGCACCGACGUUCAGGCAAGAAAGCGUGGGGAGCAAACAGG